CCUACGGGUGGCAGCAGUGAGGAAUAUUGGUCAAUGGGCGGACGCCUGAACCAGCCAAGUCGCGUGAGGGAAGACUGCCCUAUGGGUUGUAAACCUCGUUUGUCAGGGAGCAAAGCCGGCUACGUGUAGCCGGACGGAGAGGACCUGAAGAAAAAGCAGCGGCUAACUCCGUGCCAGCAGCCGCGGUAAUACGGAGGAUGCGAGCGUUAUCCGGAUUUCUUGGGGUGAAAGGGUGCGUAGGCGGAAUGCCAAGUCAGCGGUAAAAUCGCGGGGCUCAACCUCGCUGCGCCGGUGAAACUGGCGUUCUUGCGUGGGCGAGACGUAUGCGGCAUGCGUGGUGUAGCGGUGCCAUG
rnacentral:rRNA from 1 species